rnacentral:lncRNA from 1 species
UUGUGUAUUGCUAUCGUGCGGUUGUUACUAAAGUUGUUAUAACUAGAGAAGCGAGCUGUCGGCAACAUUAAUCUUUUGAGGUUGUGUCUAACGAGGUGUUACAGUGUGUUUGACCCUGAAUUAAUUUUACACCAGAAUAUCUCUUUAAAUACAGCAUGACUUUAAUUUUGUAUAUUUUGCUGCUAUUUAGAAUAACAGGCUCAUGCUUUAGGGUGUGGCUACCCUGCCGUCUUUUAAAACUUUAUUGCACAGACUCACUACUUCCACAUAUGAACAUUUGUUUACAUUUAGAGCGCUCUAAGAUCAUAGCCCUGAAUAGUUAAAUCUGCAUGUAUGUAGACUUAUGUAAAGUACACAUUUUGGUGAUUUAAGUAUGUAUCAAAUUGCUCUCCUAUUUGAUGAUGUGACUAUUUGAUGAACAGGCCUCAAAGUCUUACCAUGAACAGCCAUAAAAGCCAAAUUUUGGUGGCCUCUCGCAAUUUUAUUGACACUAUUCUAUCAAAAUACCUGCUGUGAUUAUUAACACAUCUUUAGAGAGUUUGCUAUUCAGUUUCUAAAUACUUUAUUGCGACCUCCUGUCAGUUCCAGUUCUAGCUUGUCAAAAUAAGUUUGUCUGGUAAAGACCACCUCAGGAAGUCCAAAGGUUACAGAAUUGGACCGACGUUUCACCGAAUGGGCUUGAUUUCAACAGAAAAGCUACAAAGCAGAAGCAAAGGGCUUCUUAAAUAUAAAAGGAAAUAACCUCAUUAUUCAAAUAUCUUGUUAUUCAAAAUGUUUUGUUGAAAUCAAGGAUAGAAAAGUAGCUGGCUGUACUUGAGUGAGUAGUCAGCUGCUUGGCUGACAGCUGGUGCUUGUGGAAACCACUUAAUACGGUCCCUUUCAGCACCGAAAAACAAGAUGGCAAUCACAUGGAUUAUCGCCACAAGGCUUCAAAAGUAGAGUCUACCAACAAACGCAUACUACAGCAAUGGCUACGUCCACUUCUUACACAGUAGCCAUGGUUUGGUGUUUAGAUAAUAUAACAGCAAAAUGGUAAAUCGAAAACAGAACCUCUUGGAAGGAGUUUGCAUAGAAAACAUCCACAACACAUGCUUUGAUUACAUCUUCUUCCAAAUCAAACCUGAUCAACAUGCCCGAGCUCCUCUCUCCCAGUCUGUUUGUCUGUCUCUGCCUGUCUUCCUGGCCGUGUUGGUGGCGACAGGAGACAGUGGUGUGCUGGCAGGUGCAUGCCACCAAAUUAUCAUCCACACACGUACACACACAUACACACACAUACACAAAGCAGGCCUCUCCUGUGCUGAGAAGGCUGCCAUUAUCAUAUCAAAGCGUCUCUCACAGAGACGUGGCAGCGCUUCAAUUUAAGCAAUUAAUGCAGAGAGAGACUCUGUCACACAGCCCAGCACCCCCCCAUCCCUCACCCCUCACCCUCCAACUACACACACAUGCACGCACACACGCCUUCAUACACAAAUUCACAGAUACACAUGCUGGGCUCUCUUGUGGCACUCGGAGACAAACAAAGGUGUUGGGAAGCGAGGAUCCAUAUUCUCAAGGCCAUCCUGCUGUUUUUCUCUCCUAGUCCAGCCCUAAAAUGAAACAGCUCUUUUUUUCACACAGCUCCAGGAUUUUCAUCAAAAUAUCCACCUGAGACAGUUGAAACACUUUUUCUGAGGUGUGCUUAAAUCCGGCGGUGCUCCCUUGCUGAAAUCUUUCUCAGAUAUCAGUCUCUGCAGGAUUUGAGCUUGCUUUUUUGGUUAUUUAUGUGGUUUUAAUCUUUCUUUUUUAAUUUUUUUAAGUAUAUGUCGGACUUUAAAAACAUUUUAUCACAAGCAGACCCAGUAUGAGCAACACAGGCAAGAAUUAGAAUGAAGCCAAGUGAGCUAUUUUCCUGCUGACUUUAACUAAAUUCACAAUUUAUCACAUACACACUAAUCCAUGUGGUUUUAGAUGCUAUGGCAAUAUAAAAACUGUGAACGUUUAAAAGCAACUAAUUUGCUUGUUAUUUAAAUUCUGACUUAGCAACUCGUUUAAAGGUCAGAAAAAGAAAUCAGAAAUUUUCCGCAGUUCUAUGACAAAGCUUAACACAAGAUCCCAGAGCUCGAGGGUUAAAUGCUGUCACAUUGGUAUGCCGAGUGUGGAUAACAUUAGCAGAGCUAGCACCACCAGCCUUAGGUUAACAUUUACAUACCUGUGCUGGUUCCAUAGAUACUGCCAUAUUCAAAGGGUAUCCAACUUUCUUUGUGGACAAAUUGGUGUACAGUGGCUAUUGCCAUCAACAUGUCACUGGGCAGGGUAGCACUGGUCAUUUAAUUGUUCCAUUCUCAAAGUCCAAUAUGUAUGAGGAGAUCAGUGUUAUUUAGGUCUUUAGAAAUGUAGAAUCAAUUGCCUAGGAGCACACAGCAAAUAAGCAGUAGUUAUUAUUUUCAAAGAACUUUGAAACAAAACUAAAAAAACUAAAAAAAACAUAGAUUUUGGAGUGAUUUUAAUGUUGUGAAUUGAAUCUAUAAUUGUAUUAUUAAUUAAUUGUUAAAAUGGAAUUGUAUUGUGAUUUUAAGUUUUUGGACCCAAGGAUGACUAGGAACCACUUUGUGGAAGCUAAUGGGGUUCCAAACAAACUAAUGAAUAAACAUAGAUCCCCAGUCAAGUGGUUAUAUGUCAGAAUAACCAGACAAAGUCUUCAUAAAGUUUUAGCUUCACUGUCCAGAUUAAAUUUCUGCCAAACUGUAUUUGCACUUCGAGGAUGCCAUCUGUAAUCUUGUUUCCAUCCAGGUACUCGGCCUGAUAUGUAGUAUUAUGACAGUAGUACUUGAGUUCCAGCUCUGGCAGAUGGCUGCACUAUUAGGGUGACAAUAUGUCUUCUUUUACCUAGACAUGUCCUCUUUUUUGAGGGCUGUCCGGCCUUGUCCAUCGGAGUUUAUAAGAUCCUUCAAAUGUUCGGGGUUUUGUAUAGAAGUUUUGAGUUUGUGUCACAUGGACUUAAUGAGUUAGAAGCAUGUAAAAUACACUUGGUCUAACCUGAAAAACUCAAAAUUAGAACGCCCGACUCUGUGACUCUGCCCUUGUGUAGUCAUGUCUUCUUUUUGGGGAUUCACAAUAUGGUCACCCUAUCCACUAUGCAUUAGACACAAUUUGAUGACCAACAUUGCAGGCCUACGAUCAUGAAAGCUUAACCACACUCUCCCUAAUCCAAAGAUUACAUAUUGAGAGAUUACUUUCUUUUUGUUUUGUAGUUUUAGCAAAGUUUGAUUUGUACCCCUUUGAAGUAACUUAGAUUUAGUUUAUAUCUUUAACAGUAUGAUAUUUUUUAAAAAAGAAAAAAAAUUGUAGCUAACUUUAUUCUGUUUGAAACUGUAACAAAAAUGGAUCAUUAUUCUUUUCCAUCUUUAACUACUAAAUCCUGCCGUUCUGAUACAGGCUACAUGCAGGACUGAGGGACCCUCCACUAGCUAUCGAUCUAAACAGACACAGGAGGAUCCUCUUCAAGCCAAUCAGUCAUCUUUUAAACCUGAGUAUCCGCCAAUCAGUAGACUCAUUGUACCUUUUCCCUUCUGUUUAGGAGAAAUUGGCCUCUGUCAUUUAAGCUUUUCAACCAAAUCUCUCCAACAUUCAACCCCUUCUUCUCCGCUGCCUUUCUCUCUUGCGCUGGAUUGUCGUGAAGUACUCCAUCUUUAUUUUUUAUUUUUAGGCGAGACACUUUAUUAGACACAGCUGUUCAACUAGACCCAGCAAGGCCCAGAUUAGCUGCCAAAAGCUUUUCUUUCUCUCUCUCUUUUUCUCUCCGCUGGUCUCUGUGUGUGUCUCUGUCUGUCAGGUGGGAUGCAGAGGGAUGAAUAGACAGUGAUGGGGAGCAGCUCUGUGAGGCUGUGGAAAAACCUUGGCUCCUGGCCUCAUGUUCUCUGCACAGCAAGUUUGACGAAGAGACAUCAUUUUUAUCUUGUGUAGGAGAUAAACUUAGUGUCUGGGCAGAUCAUUGCCUCUGCCAUAGCAUAAUGAACGCACACAAGAAGUAAAACCUACAGGUAUCUGCUUAAAUACAAGAGAAAUUAAAGACAUAAGUUGCUGUCUUGAACUUAAUGUUUUCUGAUUGACCAUUGCCAAAAUUUUCAACAAAACACUUACACAAUCAAACAAAAAUCUGUAUUUUUUCUCAAAUUUUUUCACAAGAACUUUUUGUUUCUCUCAGUCUUUAGUGGCUGCCACUGCUCAUUUUCACUAGUCUUUUCUUCCUAUAUGGGCUGGGACGAUAUGCUUUUCUCCCGAUUCGAUUCUUCUACGAGUUUUGGAUGCCGAUUCGAUUUAAAUUGCGAUUCUACGAUAUUGUCUACUUUCUCGAUUUUUAGUCUGCAUUUUUAACACCAGUGGAACAGUUGAAUGUAAGUGAUUGUCUACUGACUAUUCCAGGAACCAUAUUUCCCUCCAAAAUACACAUCACAUUUAAGUCAGUUUUUAAGAUUUAUUCUUAAAUUUGAAAACAAAAAUCGAUUUUUGAACAAAAAAAUCUAUUUACAAAUUGUAAAACAAAAAAAUUGCAAUACUUAUCAAUCAAUCAAUUUUUUUCUCCCACCCCUACUUCCUAUAUUUGAAGUAAACCAAAAACAUCAAAUCACCCUCUGAUAUGAAGAAUUUAAAUCAUAAAAAUAUGCAUUCGUAAUUAAAAAAAAAUGGCCAUCUGAAUACCCAUAGGUAAAAAGUUAUUUAAUAAAUUAUUAAAUAUCAUACAAUUCAAAUCCAUAUCUAUGUACACACCAAACUCUACACUGUUCCUUAUAGAAAUAGCACCAGUAUUUUAUAUUCAGGAAAUCAAAAUAAAGCUCUGAAGCCUUGCAUCAUAGACUUCAUGAAGAGGAAUAAGGCAGCACAAGCUGUAUUUGUUUCACCUGUGUCUUGAAAUUGCUAAGUGGUAAACACUAAAGCAAAUAUCACAGUAUAUAAAUAAAGCCUCUGCAAUUUCCUCCAGAUUUAAGUUGUGAUCAAUCAAAGCCCACAGAGUGAAUGGAAGAAUGUAAACACGGAGCGUCAGCUAUUAACAGCAGUGGUUUUGUUUUCAGUCCUGUUCUAUAUAUAAGUGGUUAGCUGUGUGUAAUUAAAACACAAUAGGGCCUAAUAAUGUACGACACAGCCAGAGUGAAAAUUGUAAACUCUGUCACUCACUUGAAGGCUCAAGUAUGGCUCAGUAAUACACCACCAUCAUUAUCAUUACAAACACAUGUAAAAGCUUAUUAAGUAAACUAUCUAAGGAAUGAGUUAACCAUCAAAGUUUGUCAUUAGUAAGAAAACAAGAAAUAACUUACAAUUAAAAACUUAGUCGCAUUUUUAGAUAUUCCGAAGAGCUCCAUUACUCUUUAGCCAACCAAUUGUUAUCUUUUUUUUGUUUGUUUCAUUUUAAAUUGAUAAAUAAGUGACAAAAACACGAGGAGUUUACCAAGUCAAGGUUUUUACACACAGACAGCACCACUGAAGUACAAAGUGUACUCUUCUCAUCCUGUGCUGUCUUGGGCUUUAGAUGUCGAUGUACACAUGUGGAAGGGCGAGGAGCUCUCAGACCAGAGUCAGACAUCCAAGUAUGAUCUCCUUUAUGCUAACACUAAAUGAUCUUUGAUGAAGUGGUCCCAGUUGAGCUGGAGUCUGGGUUUUCUACUGUUGCCAGUUUGUGUUGGGGAACCAGAGAUGUUUGUUUGGAUGAUUGGGUGGGUGCAUAUUGUUUCCUCUCUUUGCUGGUUUAUCCUGGUUUACACCGUUUUUAGUGAUCACGUCGCCAUGCCCCAAAGCAAACUUUGGUUUAUCAGCUGGGUGGAACCAUUAUUCAUGAGUUUAACAUCAUUCUGUAUUGAAGAAGAUUUAAAACUACUGGCAAUGGAACACUUAACGUGUUUUUCGGGCGAUAAGGCACACCGGAUUAUACGACGCAUUGGGAAUUAACAUGUCUAUGUUCACACAUUACAGUCAGGCAGUCUUGUAGACUGCUCAGGGGUUCUGUUACAGGGCCAAUCAGGUAGUGACACAGCAUACCGUAAUGCUCCAAAUAUCCAUUGAGCGGAGCAGCUUCGUUGCUUACAUAAGUCAUACUUACACAUUUUGAUAGAUUUUUGAGGGCAUUGUGCCACAUAAAAACUGUCAGUGAGCACAACAAGUAAUCAUACAUAAGGCGUGCUGGAUAAUAAGGUGCACUGUCAAUUUUUGAGGAAAUCUAUGGAUUUUAAGUGCACCCUAUAGUCCGGGAAAUACGGUACACUUACAGCUUGUUGAGUAGCCCCCUGUUGGCCGUUAAAGAAAAUGCAAAAUCAAGGCGUUUCUGCUCUAAAUUCACUUUUGUAAUCUGAAAUCAGAGGUCAUAUCACUUCUUUUGCACGGUUAGUGGCUGGAUCUCAACCUACAUAAACCUUUUUGAGAUCCACAAGUAAAAACUAAUGAACGUUAACUUAAGCUGAACAUUAAUUUGCUAAAUUGUGGAGGUGUAAAAUUUUAAAUAUAAUCUUUAAAUACAAGAUUUAAAUACAGAAUUCAGUCUGUUUCUACUCUCUCAGUAGUGGCAUGGAAAAAACCUUAAAAACAGUGAGCGACAUCAUCGCCAUUUCCAAGUGGUGUAACAAUGCAUUUAACAGAGGUGUCUACAAGGAGGAUCUGUGAGGGUGAGAUAUCAGUGACUGAAAUUCUCUUGUUGCUUCUGAUGGCUUGACCUCUGACCGUGUGUAUCUCUCUGUCUUUUUAUUUUUCAUCUAUUGUUAUGUCUCACUUUAUCUCAGCUUUGGCUGUCUGUCUUUCCCGUCCACCCUGUCUGUCUCUGUCUUUCUCUCUCUCCCUGCCUGUAUCCCUCUCUAUAAGUCGCCCUCUGGUUGCAACAGCUGCUUGAUGUUUGUGACAGGCAGUGCGAUAGUGCUGACAGUCUGGAGACGGUUAUCAGAGAGGGCUGCCUUGAGAGGCUCCGCCCGGCUAAAUUGAAAAUUGCAAAUGAAAAUCCUGCUCAGCGCGUUUUUUUUUAAAUUCAUCAGCCAUUAUGUCCGAUGACCUUUUGGGGCGUCAGGCUCGGCUGAUAAAACUCCAAACGACAACACUCAUCUCUGAUCCAAUUUUCAACACUGUCCCCUUCCUCCCUCUGCCACCUCCUCCUCCUCCUCCUCCUCACUCUCACUCACCGUUCAACCCAGCUCCAGAGAAGAUGAUAGGCUUUCAGGAGAGCCUCCAUUGUGCUGCAGAUGAAGAGGUUUUGUUUGGAGGAGAUGGCCUCACUAUCUUUGUGCGUGUGUGUGUGUGUGUUCGUGGAGAAGGUUGUGAGGUUUUAAGGGCAUACAGUGUGGCCUGGCCUGGCCUCUUCCUGGUCUGGCUGUUGUUGUCCAAUCACGGCGAGGAUCAGAGGCCGGGAACGUGUGAGCAUUUAGAAAUACAGGAGGGGAGGAAGAGAGGUGAAGGGGUGUAAUAAACACUAAGAGCAGAUGUCACUCGAAAUGGCUUUUCCAGGGUGGGUCAGUGUGUGCUGUCAUUGACUGGCGUGUGUGUGUGUGUGUGUGUGUGUGUGUGUGUGUGUGUGUGUGUGUGUGUGUGUGUGUGUGUGUGUGUGUGUGUGUGUGUGUGAAAGCCCGUGUAUCAUCUCAGGAGAGGGAAAACUGAAAAGAUGGAGCAGAGCUGAUCCUCUCAGUCUAUCAGAAGCUCUAUCCGUCUGUAAUUGAAUUCUCUCCCGCUCCCAUUGUUGUCCUCUUUGUCUCUUGGGAUGGGAUGGUCAGAUGUUUUUUCCUCAGGUGCUGCUGUAUCACAGCUUCCAUGUCCUACCAUACUGACACAUCAUAGACAUUUCUUGGUGCCAAUUCUUCUGACGGACUGUUUUUUUUUUCUGUUUUGUUUAUCCGUGUAGGAAGUUGAUGCGAAGGUCAAAUAACCUGAAAAACUUUUAGGAGAGGUUUGACUUUUUUCAAGGCCAUCUUUACACUGUAUUUAUUCCUAGAGAGAUUUCCUAUAGACUUGUGCCACAAAAGUUUUGCUUUACACCGACUUCUCGUAAAAGCCACUUGCUUUGAGGAAGACCAGCAGCUGUCUUGCGAUCAAGGAUUUUUCUAUCCUGAAAAGAUCAGUGCAGAUCCACUACCUCAAAAACAAAGGCAAACUGAUUAUAUAAUUUUUAGUGAAGUAGUUUCGUUUCUAUUGUUAGCUGACUAUGCUAGAUAAAGGCUGCUAUCUUUCUUUUAUUCUGUUAACCAAUCAGAAGCUGUGCCUGCAAUCAGCUGACUUAAGUAAAGGCCCACUAAUCGAUUUUAAUAAAAUCUUAUAAAAUACCAUCUCUGUGAAUCAUAUCUGUUCCUAGUUUAUGGCCUCAUAAAUGUUAUAUGAUCAAAGCGCAGGAAGUAGAGCUGGGUGAUAAACAGAAAAUUUACCGAUACUGAAAUUUAUGGUAAUAACCAACGUCAUUUUGCCCAUGUCGGUAUAUCCGGUGUCAAAAAUAAAUAAAUAAAAGUUGGUUUUGGAUGUGUGUAGGUAGGCUAUGGUUUCAUGUCCCUUUAAGACGUCCUAUGCCAGAGACGUGACUCUACCCCAUCCAGUCUGUAACAUUAGUUCUUAAAAGUGUCAAAAUAAUGGCAAUAAAUAGGUCCAGGGGAGUCAUACUAUCAAAAAACUGCCCCAGCCCAUUACAUAGGCUAAACUUUUUUGUGGCAGGGGCGCAGUGGAGUAUUUAUCAUCCAUAUAUCGUUAUUGAGGUGAACUGCUCAAUAUAUUGUGAUAUUGAUUUGAGGUCAUAUUGCCCAUCCCCAUUACAGAAGACCCCUCGUUUUCUUGCACAUGCCCAGAUCCCUCCUCACUGAAACCAAACUGUGAGUACGCCCUCCAACACAGACGAGAUGUUUGAAAGGUCAAGUUCAUGUAAAUAUUUUAGGGUAUUUAACUACUGACAUUUAGACAUUGUCAGUAGUUAAUAGGUGGAGGGGUUGCUGUAUCUGUUUUGGAUGAAGGGUAAACUUCCUUGCUCUGAAACUUGCAUUAGUUGACAUGCUACUGUUGACAGAAAAUGAUGUGAUGCCAUUUAAACUGUGACCAGCUUUGUUUUGAAAUAUUGCAGAAUUUAUGUAAAGCAUCUGUUUGUGUGUGCAGUCGUGUCUCAUCAGUAGCUGGUCUAACAUUAUACCAAAUAUGUACAGAUAUGUAUUUGCUCUUUCAGUAUUUACAAGUGUGUCCCAGCAUGCGUCCACAUCUGCCCGCGAGUGUGUGUUUGUGUGUGCGUGCAGCUGUCCCAGGUGUGCGUUAUUAAUCAGUUAUCAGGGCAGUUUAUUUGCUGGCUGACAAGUUGCAAUUUUUCCCCUGAUUCCAGGCCUCUUUGUCAGGUGGGAAUUACUCUGAGAGCACAUGACAAAACACUUCACCUCAGCAUGGCUCCCACACUCCUCUCUCUCUCACUCUCUCUCUCUCACCGUGUUGCUGAAUUCUACCAUCUCUUCUUCCUCUCGUUUCUGCCUCCUCCUUCUUCACCCCAAACCCCUUUUUUAGCCUCAACUUCUUCUCUUCUGUCUCGUCCCUCAGUCCUGUUUCUUCCUCCAUCUUGUCCCGUCUUUUAUAUUUAUUUUCCCUCCCAUGAACAUCAUCCUAAGCCCUUGGAGUAAAAAAAAAAGGCGGACUGUAUAAUUAAUCACACAGCUUGGUCUAAUUAGAGAUGAAUAAGCGUUGUCCCUCUUGUCACACAGUGACACACACACAUACACAGCAUAGACACACACACACACACACACACACACACACCUUAGCAUCUUGGGCCUAAUAGCAGUUGAUGCUGUAUUAACAGCAAAUGGUGCUAUCACAGCCAGAACCCCACUUGGCGAGAUGUAUCUGAUAAAUGUGACAAUAAUUAGUGAAGACAGAUGAGAGGUAAAUUACCACUGACAAUGCAAUGCUGUCCUCUCUGCCACUGAAGAGAGAGAGAGAGCCAGAAAAAGAGAGGGAGAGAAGAGGACAUGUUAGAUGAAAAAGAGAGAAAGGGAUCAGACAGCGAGGGGCACAGAAAGUAGUUUGGUUUCAUGGAACUUAUUAUUUGCAUGCAAAUGAUGUUUUUACUGGUUCAGCCUCAUGAAAACUCUGAUGGAAAAUUUAGUUAUUACCAAAUUUAAGAAGACACAUAAAGAAUAUGUAAUAAAAAAAGGUAAAUGUGACAUAUUUAUCUCGUUUAUACUUUAUAUUAAUGUUCAUUAUGACUCAGUGUAUCGCUGUUAGGGCUGGGCGAUAUGGCCUCAAAUCAAUAUCACGAUAUAUUAAGCAGUUCAUUUCGAUAACGAUAAAUGGACGAUAACUCACCCCCUCCCACAUUAACUUCGUCUACUUAAGCCGCUACAACUUUUGAACCUUCCUCCAUCUCCUCACCUGUCUUUCCCUCUUUGUUAUGGGCCGGAUGGGGUGGAGUCAGGGUUAGGGUUAGGGGUUAGUCUCUGAUGUAAAGGGACAUGAGACCAUAGCCUACCUACACACAUCCAAAACCAACUUUUAUUUAUUUUUUGACACUGAAUUUACAUAUAUGGGCAAAAUGAUGUCAGGUAUUGUUGAAGAUUUCAGUAUCGAUACAUUUUCGGUUUAUCGUCCAGCCCUAUUUGUUGUGAUAAGCAGAGGAGGGGCUGACAUUGUAUUGCAUGCAGCUUUGUAUUCUUUGUCAUGCAUGUCAUGUUUAAGUUGUGUUGUCUGACAGAAAUUGCCGUCCUGUGUUGUUUAUAACUCUCUGUGAAAAUGUCAUUGAAGGCUGUUCCUCCUGUUUGCUCUUAGUCAUCUGAUUUCAGACUUGCCAGAUGACAGCAGUUGCAGGCAUUAAAUAGCUUAUUUUAAGAGAAAUUUCAAUGUUGUUGCUAAUAGUUUCUUAAAAAAACAUGAAUGUUGAUGACAAACCAGAGAAAAAUAAACUUUAAAAAGCGUCCUUCAUUAAAAACAAUCUUCAAAAUAGUUAUGUUCAUCACUGAUUGCCAUAGAAAGUGGUGCAAAAUGCUCCAGAUCACCAUCUUUAAGAGAAGACAAAUCAAAUUGGCUAAUUAAUAUACAUAUUUUUUUAUUUAUUACAAGGUCAUGUUAAAAGAAGUUUGUGUAUUUUAGCAAAGUCUUGACUGUGUUCUUUGUUUUAUUAUUUAGGAGGGAUGUUCUGAAGUGGCCAAUUACUAAAUUGUGCACAAUUACUACUAUUGUAAAGUUAAGAAAACUCUCACAAGAGUCAAAGUUGAACAUAAUUUAUUAAACAUGACUUAACGUGGGAGGAUUGUAAAAAAAUAUGUAAGUUGUAAGCACCGGUAAUCAGUCUGUUAUCAGCCCUACCUGUUCAGAAAGAGUAACAUCAUAUUGCCUCUUAGCUGCUGAGAGAGGGAAAGACGGUUAGUGUUAUAAAGCAUCAGGACUAAUGACUGCUCUCUGCUAAAGGAGGAAAAGAGGCAAAGAUGAUGAGAGACAAGAGAGGGAGUGAGGAUAAGAGGUGAAGAGGGAAGAAGAGAUGGUAGCCUAAUUGUUUUCGUCAGAGGCAGUGGGGAGCUAUCAGGGUAAUAAAGUUAAUUAGCAGAACAAACAAGCAGCAAGAAAGAGAGAGAGGGAGAGAGAGGGAUGGAUGGACAGAGAAAGAGAGAGGAACAGAUGGAGGGAUUUGAUGAUUACAAAUGGAAGCAGAUCUAACACAAGGAGAAAACAGUGAAAUCAAUUACCCUUAUUUUCUCCCUCUGGUGGAGGAAAAGAUGAGUGUGGGAGGGAUCAACUAGAUGGAACCAAAACUCCUCCUCCUCUUUUAUCUGAAGCCCCCCCCCCAUACUGUGUGUGUGUGAUCAGUGUCCUGUGUCACACUCAUUUUUCCACAAACACUCAUCAGAAUCCAAGUGAUAAACAUCCUCAUAACGGUCGUUUGUGUUUUUUAUCCAUAGUUAUACAUUAUUUUCUUCUUUUACAUCAUUUACACACCCUUGUAAACUUCAACUCAAGUUAGAAUUUCCUCUUUUUAAUCUACACUGAGAGUAAAUUUUUGCCAUUCAUAUACAGGGUACCCAGAUUAUUGAAAAAAAGCUAAAAAGACUUCACACAGGAAAAGAUGAGGAGAAACAGCUGAUGUUUAAAGGUUAAAAGUUUUAUUAUUUACAGUGUAAAGAACAACGGCGGCACUUAUUUGAGUUUAUUUUGUACUCAGUUAUCAUUUUUUGCUGCAUAAUUUUCAACAUGUAAGUCAAUGAAGGCCCUGCAUGAUUAAAUCACAUGGAUUGCAUUGUCACUCACCGUAGCAACCAAACAGUAUCUGACAGCCCAUCACGACAGCGAUGUGGUGACAGGCUAGGUAAUGGAACCUGUGUCUUUGACAUCACAUGUAGAGGAAACACUUCAUUAUGGAAGAGUUGUGUGUAUAUGUGUAUGUCUGUGUGUGUCUCUGCAGUGCUAGCAUGCCUCCUCCGUCAUGUCUCAUUUCCAAGUUGCUGUAAUUCUGUAAUUGUACAAGGCAUGCUGAGGAAGUGUGUAUCUGUGUCUGUGGAUGAAGCUGUCUGUGUGUAUGUUCAAGGUCUGAAUCAUACUUUGUAUUCCCCCGCGAUCAUGUAGCAUUAAAGUUACUAUUGAACCGAGAUUAACUGAAGAUAAGAGAGGUGGUUACCAAUCAAUUUGUACAUUUUUGUAGGCAUGAAGCAAAUUUAAAGCGAAAGUCUGUUAUUUUCUGUACCAAAACAUCUUGAUCUAUAUAAUUUCACAUAAACAAUUAGGUGUACAAUAUUGAUAUUGGAUAUCGGUCCGAUAUCAGCAAAAAAAUGAAUAUCAGAUUAUAUCGGCCUGCAUCUAAAAUCUUCAAUAUCAGCCUUCCAAUACAAGCAGUCCAUUCCAGACUCCACUACCGCACCUCUAGCUCGCAGCACCCUGAUCCAGCAUGCAGAGCCCACAAAAUCACAACAACAGUGUGUACUAAGGUACUAACAAAGUAGCAAGGAUUAGGAGUGAUGUCGGCCUUGUGGCAGUAUUUUUUGUUCUCAACAAAAUUUUUAUUAGUUUUGUACAGGUUAUACAAAGGAAACACAUCACAAACACCCCCUUUCCCUCAAAACCCCA